rnacentral:lncRNA from 1 species
CUAGUAUAGUGUUUUCUUAACAUGAACUUUUUUCCCUCUUUUUUUUCCCUUUUUUCUUUUUGCAACUUUGUUAGUGGGCUAAUCUUGUUCUUGAAACUGCUGGAAAUCUUGAAGAUAACUGUAUUCCUACAGUUUUUUUUUGUGGAAAUCAGUUGCUAAGAAGAGACGCAAAGUAAUACUUUCAUAAAGAAGAGACAGGAAGCCAGAAGCGUCUACACAUUUUAUCUCAUCUGCAAUGUUCUUUCUUUUACAAAGCCUUUCCAAAAUGGAAUUAAGCUCUGGAGGAACUGUCCAUUCUCAAGUGUACCAGUGUGCUUGGAUGGGGCUCUUUGUCACUGUGGUUUGCUUUUGUAUGGUAUCAUUCUCAUCUGUCAAAGUCUC